rnacentral:piRNA from 1 species
UGACAUGAAUCACCUUUACCA